rnacentral:rRNA from 1 species
UACGGGGGGAGCAAGCGUUGUUCGGAAUUACUGGGCGUAAAGGGCGCGUAGGCGGUCAGGUAAGUGAGAUGUGAAACCCUCCGGCUCACCCGGAGAAAUGCAUCUCAUACUGCUUGACUAGAGUUCGGGAGAGGAAUCGGGAAUUCCAGGUGUAGCGGUGAAAUGCGUAGAUAUCUGGAGGAACACCGGUGGCGAAGGCGCGAUUCUGGCCCGAUACUGACGCUGAGGCGCGAAAGCCAGGGGAGCAAACGGG